rnacentral:rRNA from 1 species
GACGAACGCUGGCGGCGUGCUUAACACAUGCAAGUCGAACGAAGAGCGAUGGAAGCUUGCUUCUAUCAAUCUUAGUGGCGAACGGGUGAGUAACGCGUAAUCAACCUGCCCUUCAGAGGGGGACAACAGUUGGAAACGACUGCUAAUACCGCAUACGAUCUAAUCUCGGCAUCGAGGAUAGAUGAAAGGUGGCCUCUACAUGUAAGCUAUCACUGAAGGAGGGGAUUGCGUCUGAUUCGCUAGUUGGAGGGGUAACGGCCCACCAAGGCGAUGAUCAGUAGCCGGUCUGAGAGGAUGAACGGCCACAUUGGGACUGAGACACGGCCCAGACUCCUACGGGAGGCAGCAGUGGGGAAUCUUCCGCAGUGGACGAAAGUCUGACGGAGCAACGCCGCGUGAGUGAUGACGGCCUUCGGGUUGUAAAGCUCUGUUAAUCGGGACGAAAGGCCUUCUUGCGAAUAGUGAGAAGGAUUGACGGGACCGGAAUAGAAAGCCACGGCUAACUACGU